CUCAUCACUUGGAGUCUAAAAUAUUUGAGAGAGAGGGAGAGAACCGAGAGAGGGAGAGAGAGAGAGAGAGGAAAAAUGAGAGAGAAAGCUUCUCUAAGAGAGAGAGAGAGAGAGAGAGAGAGCUCAUCAUUCAUGGGUUUUAAACACAAAUUGAAGAGAUUUAAGAGAAAUGAAGAAGAUCAACCAUGAAAGUUUGGGAAAUUGAAGAGAGUUAAUGCAAAAGCAAAGAUUGAACUAAGGUGAGCCAUCGGGGAUCAACACUAGAGUUGUAUCGAGGUCCACCUCUCUGUGAAGCCACCCGGGUUACGCCUUUGUGUCGAGGCUUUAACUUUGUAUUGGAGAAUAUGUAUUUUAUUGAGUCUUAUGUAUUUGUGUGUGAGAUCUAUAUAAGUUCUGUGAUUAUUUAUGUAAAUAUCGAAAGUAUAUUUAAAUGCUUAAAUUAAUCUGA